AACGUAGGUUCCGAGCGUUAUCCGGAUUUACUGGGCGUAAAGCGCGUUCAGGCGGUUUGGCAAGUCGGGCAUGAAAUCUCUCGGCUCAACCGGGAGAGGUUGUCCGAUACUGCUGGACUUGAGGGCAGUAGAGGGUGGUGGAAUUCCGGGUGUAGUGGUGAAAUGCGUAGAUAUCCGGAGGAACACCAGUGGCGAAGGCGGCUACCUGGCCCACUCUUGACGCUGAGGCGCGAAAGCUAGGGGAGCAAACGGG
rnacentral:rRNA from 1 species